rnacentral:rRNA from 1 species
AGAGUUUGAUCCUGGCUCAGGACGAACGCUGGCGGCGUGCCUAAUACAUGCAAGUCGAGCGGAGCUUUCGCGGCGGAAGCCUUCGGGUGGAAGCUGCGAAAGCUUAGCGGCGGACGGGUGAGUAACACGUGGGCAACCUGCCCGAAAGACCGGGAUAACAUCCGGAAACGGAUGCUAAUACCGGAUAAGCGGACCUUUCGCAUGAAGGGUUCGGGAAAGACGGGGCAACCUGUCACUUUCGGAUGGGCCCGCGGCGCAUUAGCUGGUUGGCGGGGUAACGGCCCACCAAGGCGACGAUGCGUAGCCGACCUGAGAGGGUGAACGGCCACACUGGGACUGAGACACGGCCCAGACUCCUACGGGAGGCAGCAGUAGGGAAUCUUCCGCAAUGGACGAAAGUCUGACGGAGCAACGCCGCGUGAGUGAGGAAGGUCUUCGGAUCGUAAAGCUCUGUUGCCAGGGAAGAAUCCCCUGGGGAGUCACUGCCCCGGGGUUGACGGUACCUGAGAAGAAAGCCCCGGCUAACUACGUG